AGGACUGGCCCCCCCAGGUCCAGAGUUGUCUGUCUGUCAGGACUGCCCCCCAAGGUCCAGAGUUGUCUGUCUGUCAGGACUGCCCCCCCAGGUCCAGAGUUGUCUGUCUGUCUGUCUGUCUGUCAGGACUGGCCCCCCCAGGUCCAGAGUUGUCUGUCUGUCUGUCUGUCAGGACUGCCCCCCCAGGUCCAGAUUUGUCUGUCUGUCAGGACUGCCCCCCAAGGUCCAGAUUUGUCUGUCUGUCAGGACUGGCCCCCCCAGGUCCAGAGUUGUCUGUCUGUCAGGACUGGCCCCCCCAGGUCCAGAGUUGUCUGUCUGUCUGUCUGUCAGGACUGCCCCCCCAGGUCCAGAGUUGUCUGUCUGUCAGGACUGCCCCCCCAGGUCCAGAUUUGUCUGUCUGUCAGGACUGGCCCCCCCAGGUCCAGAGUUGUCU
rnacentral:lncRNA from 1 species